rnacentral:rRNA from 1 species
AGUCGAGGGGCAGCAUUUCAGUUUGCUUGCAAACUGGAGAUGGCGACCGGCGCACGGGUGAGUAACACGUAUCCAACCUGCCGAUAACUCGGGGAUAGCCUUUCGAAAGAAAGAUUAAUACCCGAUGGUAUAAUCAGACCGCAUGGUCUUAUUAUUAAAGAAUUUCGGUUAUCGAUGGGGAUGCGUUCCAUUAGGCAGUUGGUGAGGUAACGGCUCACCAAACCUUCGAUGGAUAGGGGUUCUGAGAGGAAGGUCCCCCACAUUGGAACUGAGACACGGUCCAAACUCCUACGGGAGGCAGCAGUGAGGAAUAUUGGUCAAUGGGCGCAGGCCUGAACCAGCCAAGUAGCGUGAAGGAUGACUGCCCUAUGGGUUGUAAACUUCUUUUANUAUGGGAAUAAAGUUUUCCACGUGUGGAAAUUUGUAUGUACCAUAUGAAUAAGGAUCGGCUAACUCCGUGCCAGCAGCCGCGGUAAUACGGAGGAUCCGAGCGUUAUCCGGAUUUAUUGGGUUUAAAGGGAGCGUAGGUGGACAGUUAAGUCAGUUGUGAAAGUUUGCGGCUCAACCGUAAAAUUGCAGUUGAUACUGGCUGUCUUGAGUACAGUAGAGGUGGGCGGAAUUCGUGGUGUAGCGGUGAAAUGCUUAGAUAUCACGAAGAACUCCGAUUGCGAAGGCAGCUCACUGGACUGCAACUGACACUGAUGCUCGAAAGUGUGGGUAUCAAACAGGAUUAGAUACCCUGGUAGUCCACACAGUAAACGAUGAAUACUCGCUGUUUGCGAUAUACAGUAAGCGGCCAAGCGAAAGCAUUAAGUAUUCCACCUGGGGAGUACGCCGGCAACGGUGAAACUCAAAGGAAUUGACGGGGGCCCGCACAAGCGGAGGAACAUGUGGUUUAAUUCGAUGAUACGCGAGGAACCUUACCCGGGCUUAAAUUGCAUUUGAAUAANUNUGGAAACAGGUUAGCCGCAAGGCAAAUGUGAAGGUGCUGCAUGGUUGUCGUCAGCUCGUGCCGUGAGGUGUCGGCUUAAGUGCCAUAACGAGCGCAACCCUUAUCUUUAGUUACUAACAGGUCAUGCUGAGGACUCUAGAGAGACUGCCGUCGUAAGAUGUGAGGAAGGUGGGGAUGACGUCAAAUCAGCACGGCCCUUACGUCCGGGGCUACACACGUGUUACAAUGGGGGGUACAGAAGGCAGCUACCUGGUGACAGGAUGCUAAUCCCAAAAGCCUCUCUCAGUUCGGAUCGAAGUCUGCAACCCGACUUCGUGAAGCUGGAUUCGCUAGUAAUCGCGCAUCAGCCAUGGCGCGGUGAAUACGUUCCCGGGCCUUGUACACACCGCCCGUCAAGCCAUGAAAGCCGGGGGUACCUGAAGUACGUAACCGCAAGGAGCGUCCU